rnacentral:tRNA from 1 species
GGCGCUGUAGCCAAGCGGUAAGGCAGAGGUCUGCAAAACCUCCAUCCGGCGGUUCGAUUCCGCCCAGCGCCUCCA